UUCCUGCGCCGCGCCGGCCCGCCCGCGCUGCUCGUGCCGCUCAUGCAGCACCACGCUGCGCAGUCAGUAUUACACUCAUUGCCUUACUGCUGACAUCGAGCCGGCGCAGCGCCCGCCCGCCGCGCGCCUGCUGCUGCACCCGUUCCUGCGCCGCGCCGGCCCGCCCGCGCUGCUCGUGCCGCUCAUGCAGCACCACGCUGCGCAGUCAGUAUUACACUCAUUGCCUUACUGCUGACAUCGAGCCGGCGCAGCGCCCGCCCGCCGCGCGCCUGCUGCUGCACCCGUUCCUGCGCCGCGCCGGCCCGCCCGCGCUGCUCGUGCCGCUCAUGCAGCACCACGCUGCGCAGUCAGUAUUACACUCAUUGCCUUACUGCUGACAUCGAGCCGGCGCAGCGCCCGCCCGCCGCGCGCCUGCUGCUGCACCCGUUCCUGCGCCGCGCCGGCCCGCCCGCGCUGCUCGUGCCGCUCAUGCAGCACCACGCUGCGCAGUCAGUAUUACACUCAUUGCCUUACUGCUGACAUCGAGCCGGCGCAGCGCCCGCCCGCCGCGCGCCUGCUGCUGCACCCGUUCCUGCGCCGCGCCGGCCCGCCCGCGCUGCUCGUGCCGCUCAUGCAGCACCACGCUGCGCAGUCAGUAUUACACUCAUUGCCUUACUGCUGACAUCGAGCCGGCGCAGCGCCCGCCCGCCGCGCGCCUGCUGCUGCACCCGUUCCUGCGCCGCGCCGGCCCGCCCGCGCUGCUCGUGCCGCUCAUGCAGCACCACGCUGCGCAGUAACCAAGGCGACAACCCCACCUCUUUCGAUCGAUUCGAUAAUGUACAAUAGAAAAGUAGCGUAUUUAUUGCACUGAAGUGAUUUUAUAUUUAUUGACUUUUAUAAAUGAGCUUAGAGGUUAGCCAAGAUGCAACACCUUUUAUACUCAUCAAUAUUUUAUCACAAUUAACAUUCACCAGUAAUAUCUAGUUAUGAAUAACUUAUUAAUAGAACCAAAGUAUUUUAACAAACAUGAUCAAAAUCACUAACAACUAUUUAUUUCUUUUAUAAUGAUCAUCUUCAUUUGUCCAUCCAUAAGCUGAUCCAAAGAACUAUGUUCAUAAAAAAUAUGCUUCAUGUCUUAAAAUAAUCACAUAAGUUUUUGGGUUGGAAAUUUAAGCUCCAGUGAUGUUAAUUUUAUGGGGAUUUUGAUAUAAGGGGAUUUUUAAUCAAAGGCACGGAUCAUCGAUUAGUAAUCAUUUACUUGAAUUUGAAUAACUAAGAAAAUUUUGACUGCAUUGAUAAAGAUCAUUUUUUUAUUAUUUUAUAAAGAUAUAAUGGAUAAAGAUAGAAAUAAGCUUAAGACUUAAUAAUCCUACCAUAUUAAUUUGUUUUAAAAAGCUUAUGUAUUCAGGACUGUUUCCAAUUAAUAUCUUUAUAAUAAUAUUAACAGAAGUUUAAAAAAAAAAAAUGUAACAUGUAAUAAGUAUUAUAAUUUUGGUAGUACUACUUUUGAUAACUAUUGUUAAAAUGUUAAUACUUAUUACAUUUCUUGGUAAACUAAGGUUGUCAUAUGAAAAAAGAAAUAAAAUUUUAUAUCUUAAUCAAAUUCGGAAAAUUUUGAUCAUUUUUUUAAAGAGAUCCCUGCCAUUUGAUAAAGACGAUCUUUGGUAGUCAAAACUUUUUACUUGCUAUAAAAUGACUACAUUAAGUUUAUUAUUUUUUAUACUUUAUACAUUUGAAAUCAAGCAUGCCUUUUUCACAUUCCUUAUCAAUUACUUUCCAUGAAUUUUAUAAGCUUUUUUUUGUUAAAUUAUAUUUAAUGUGUUAAUUUUAUUGCCAUAAAAUAGUUUGUUGAUUAGGUGAAAUUGUUGAAACUAGUGUUGUAGGGUUUUUUGGACGAUCUUAACUAAAGAAGCAUAUUUUCCGUCUUCUUUGCACCAUUCAUUCUUAUAAGCGUGUAUAGUAAGAUUUCAUAAUUUCAGACAUUUGAAAAGCUUUUAUAUUAAGGUUCCCGUGAUGAUGUACUCAAAUCAUGCAUGUUCAACUUUGAUCUACUUUUCAUUGCUAGUUUGAUUUGAAAUAUAUAGAAGGGUUGAGUUGGAUGACAUAACUCAAAGAAAUGAAAGCUUUGACGAAAAAAUAUUCAAACAAUUAAAUUUGAAUACUUGUUGAAUAGAAAAAUAAAACUGUCGUGUUUGACUCGGGUGUCUUGCGGUAUCUCCUAGCUAGAGGGAACCACAUUUUUCACUUUUUAGUGAUAGGGUUAUAAAUCCAGAUAGUAUAUAUAGGCUAUAAGACUAACCCUUUAUUGACUGUUGACUGUCUUGUUUUAAAUAUUUUCGCCCGUCCAUUUACAUUCGCCACUUACGUACAAUCAUUUAAGACUACACUAACAUUUAUUAUAAUUGUUGAUCAUUCUAUGGUAUGAUAUGCCUUUAUAACUUUUCUAUUUUCGUAUCAAAAAUAAUAUUAAAAUUAUAUGUAGUAUGCUAGAUUAUAAUAUCUCAUAUUUAUCCUAUUGUUUUUUUAUACUUGUUGAUAUGUCUAAGCAGAAUUGCAGAGUGCCACAAAUUUGUACCCUUUUUGUAUUCAUUGGACAAAUAAUUUCAAAAUCAGUAUUAUUGAACUACAAAUCGUUAUGUACUUAUUUUUUUAUUAUAAAUAUAAAAUUAGGUGAUAUUUUAUAUCAUUAGUUGUAGUGUUUUCUUGUAUUAAGCUUGUUUUAUACAUUCCGACUAAAAAGCAUUGCAUAUUUAUGUAUUCAAUUGAAUCAAAUACCGAAUUGUUAAUAGAAACGUUUUUUGCCCAAUCGCUCGUUAAUUAAAGAAAAAAACAUAAAAAUGACACUUUUCACUGUAAUAUUUUUUUAUUGUAUUAUGUAAACACCAAUGUAUAUUAGAGCGAGGCAGAAUUGAAAUAACAGAGUAACUUUACUACCAUAUUUAUUGUGUUCUGAGCAACAUUAAAAGUAACAUUUUGGAUUCCAUAUACUUACAUUUACUAUGUAUUUUACUUUGCAAAACCGAGCGGCAUGGUUAAUGACAUUUAUCAUGAUUUAAUUUUUAAUGAGACGUCACAAAUUAUAGCAUACAUCCCAGUUUCAGUAAAUUUGUAAGAUAACGUUAGACUACUGUUACCCAUGACAAUUUUCACUUAAAUCUUGCUCAAAAGCUGACACAAUUUGCCUGUUAUGUAGAUUGAAUGAUAUUAUAUUAAUAUUAGCAAUUUGAAAACAUAUUAUAUGAGGCCUUCUUACAUUGACGCACUAUGAGAUUAGAAUAGAAUGAAUACUAAUUAUACAAAUAUAAAUAUACACUUUAAAGCACGUGUUGUAUGUAAAAAUAUGUUUGUACUUAAAAAUUAGACAGCUAGAUUUUAAUAUCUGUCAAAACUUUUUUCUUUUACACACUUUGCCUUAAAUAGAAUUAGUGCCUUAACGCAGCCUAAUGUCAUUCAUACACCUGUUAUUAUUAGUAUGUAAUAAUAAUAUAUUGACAAUAGUUUGAAACUAGCUUCCGUCCGUCGCUGUUCUUAAUCCGCUAUCCAUGAAAUGAGGGUUCUUUAAAAAUUUUUUAUUAGAUAUGAGAUUAUUAUUUUCUAUAAUGCAUGUCAUAGUCAGGAUUGGGAUUUUUCGAUCAUACUGGAAUACUUCUGACAAACUUACGUUAAAUAGACAAAAGAAUACCGUUAGCACGUUGUGAGAUUUAGACAUGAACAAUUCUUAACGUAAAUCGGUUUCGUUUUUUUAUUUGUA